rnacentral:rRNA from 1 species
UACGAAGGGGGCUAGCGUUGCUCGGAAUCACUGGGCGUAAAGGGUGCGUAGGCGGGUUUUUAAGUCAGGGGUGAAGUCCUGGAGCUCAACUCCAGAACUGCCUUUGAUACUGGCAAUCUCGAGUCCGGGAGAGGUGAGUGGAACUGCGAGUGUAGAGGUGAAAUUCGUAGAUAUUCGCAAGAACACCAGUGGCGAAGGCGGCUCACUGGCCCGGUACUGACGCUGAGGUGCGAAAGCGUGGGGAGCAAACAGG